GCCAGAAAGAUAGGAAAAAGUAGUCUCCAGCGAUGGGCAAUACUUUAAUUGACUUGUUUUUUUAUUAUUUUUUUAAAAUAAAGGAUUUAUUUUCACAAAAAACGGCGAGAACUUAUUCACACUCCCAAUACAAACAUGUACUCUUACGGCCUUACGAAGGUACCUUACGGCGGCAUGAGACAGAUACAAAAUCGAGACAGAAGACAUCGAGGUUUUGAAAGAAAUUCUAGAAGAGGAGCGACAAUUGCUGUACGGCAAGGCGUUGGAUCCUUUAAUUCUGGAGGUUUACUACGAAUCGCAAGCUCGUGAUAAAACGUACAGAGAAUAUCUAAAAUUGGAUAAUACUUUACCUUAUAUACCGGUUUAUACGCAUUUAUCGACUUAUCCUUUAACAUCUAUGGAGGCGCAAAGAAUAUUCUUGCUCGGACAGAAAAUAGAUUUUACGUAUUGAUUUUUAUUCUGAAUCACUGGAAGGAUCUCGUACAAGAUGUUCUAAUACAUUACGGUAAUCUCGACUUUAGUAAGUGUAUUUAAGAAGAGCAUUGAAGCCAUCGUGAAUGCGUUCAACCGCAACAAAGACAUAUCUACGAAAGUUACUUCGUCGCAACGUUGAGUCUUCAAUAAGUCGACAAAAUGAUGAACCAAUAAUAUAUAUAUCUUAAUAUAAAUAUAUAAAUAAUGUGAAAUAAUUGAGUACUAAUUUAUUUGAAUUAGUAGUAGUCGUGCAUUAAAACACGAGCAUUAAAAACGUGCAGUAGUUGCAUUAAAACCUCGACAUAAUGACUCUCUAAUACCGAUUAACCAAUUGCGUACUACAAAAGUCUUUAAUCUCCUUUUAGCAAAGAUAUAAUAUUUAUAUAUAAAGAAGUAGCGAACACUAAAUAUCGUCGAACAAAACGCACGUUACAUAUAUUGUUGUGUGAACAUUUGUAGCAAUGAACAAUGCGCCCUCACAUUUUCAUAUGCAUACAAUACGUUCGAUCGUCUGAUAUAGUAAAAUCGUUAUGACACAACAUCACGAUCAAUUAUCUCCUACGAUAUUAAAUUCGUAAUAUUUGCGCUUCGAUUCGAGAAUCCUAUUCGCCUUCCAUCAUGGAAAAACGCGGCGGCGUUUUCCAGAUUGCACUGGAGGUACGCUUCAAUCGAUUUCGAUCUAUACCUUGAAAUAGCUCGGUCAAAUCCGGCGUGCACUUACGAGUGUCGAAGAAUUUGUACACUAUUUCAUUUGGAAUGUGCCGUUGCAUUGCCAGUUGCACCUUGCGUACAUGUGCUGAAAAAUUUCGAGUGAUUUAACGAUUUUUCAAAUGUACAAUUAUAUUACAAUAUUAUACUGUAUAUAUAUACUUUCUUUUGAGAAACAUUUGGAAAUAAAGAUUUUUAUUAAAAAUUA